rnacentral:rRNA from 1 species
AGGGCUUCUCCUUCGGGAGCAGAGUGACAGGUGGUGCAUGGUUGUCGUCAGCUCUGUGUCGUGAGAUGUUGGGUUAAGUCCCGCAACGAGCGCAACCCUUGAUCUUAGUUGCCAUCAUUAAGUUGGGCACUCUAAGGUGACUGCCGGUGACAAACCGGAGGAAGGUGGGGAUGACGUCAAAUCAUCAUGCCCCUUAUGACCUGGGCUACACACGUGCUACAAUGGACGGUACAAAGAGCUGCAAGACCGCGAGGUGGAGCUAAUCUCAUAAAACCGUUCUCAGUUCGGAUUGUAGGCUGCAACUCGCCUACAUGAAGCUGGAAUCGCUAGUAAUCGCGGAUCAGCAUGCCGCGGUGAAUACGUUCCCGGGCCUUGUACACACCGCCCGU